rnacentral:rRNA from 1 species
CCGCGCGAAGGUAGCGUAAUCACUUGUUUUUUAAUUAAAGACUAGUAUGAACGGCCGCACGAGGACCUAACUGUCUCCUUUGUCCAAUCAGUGAAACUGAUCUCCUCGUGCAGAAGCGAGGAUUUUACCAUAAGACGAGAAGACCCUAUGGAGCUUUAAACUUUUAUUAAUUAUUUUCUUUACCCCUCUAAGGAGCUAACAGCCAAUUUAAUUUAUUUAAUAAAAGUUUUGGGUUGGGGCGACCAUGGAGAAAAGAAAAUCCUCCCUGAUGAUAACCUAACCAAGAGCCACAGCUCUAAGUAUUAAGACACUUAACUCCUAUUGACCCAUUUUAUGAUCAACGAACCAAGUUACCCUAGGGAUAACAGCGCAAUCCAUUUCAAGAGUCCCUAUCGACAAAUGGGUU